GGGGCUGAUCAGCUUCGACGUUGGGAUCUUUACCAGGUUAAAGCGCAGGUCGACUGGCCGCCGUAAGCGGGCAACAAGUUGUUAAAUGACAACUUAAUUUCGCGGGUCAAGGCUGCCUUCACGGCUCCUUCAUUCGCUCCUGUUUACGCCUAAUAACGUAGACUAUCGGCACCUGACUCCUGAUGGGGAUCCGCCGGUAUCAAAUCAUCAGGACGCUCUAGACGGCUUGUCUCAGCCGACUAGCUAAGAUUUGAGACUGCUUCACUCGUCAGUUUGUCUGGCAUGAUGAUGGGUGACUAAGAUCAAAACCAGACUAUAUCUGUAGUGCUUGACCAGUAACCUAACGGACCCGAGUGCAAUUCUCGGCAGCUCCACCA
rnacentral:tmRNA from 1 species